AAUGAGAUUGCUGGGUUGUAUGGUUAAUGUAUAUUUAACUUUAUAAGAAAUUGCCAGACUGUUUUCCAAAGUGGCUAUACCAUUUUGUAUUCCCACUAGUAAU
rnacentral:pre_miRNA from 1 species